CAGUCGCCGCGGUAAUACGAAGGGUGCAAGCGUCAAUCGGAAUUACUGGGCGUAAAGCGUGCGUAGGCGGUGAGUUAAGUCUGCUGUGAAAUCCCCGGGCUCAACCUGGGAAUGGCAGUGGAUACUGGCUCGCUAGAGUGUGUCAGAGGAUGGUGGGAUUCCCGGUGUAGCGGUGAAAUGCGUAGAGAUCGGGAGGAACAUCAGUGGCGAAGGCGGCCAUCUGGGACAACACUGACGCUGAGGCACGAAAGCGUGGGGAGCAAACAGGAUUAGAUACCCCCGUAGUCCCUGUCUCUUAUAA
rnacentral:rRNA from 1 species